ACGGAGGAUCCAAGCGUUAUCCGGAUUUAUUGGGUUUAAAGGGUGCGUAGGCGGCGUGCUAAGUCAGGGGUGAAAGACGGUGGCUCAACCAUCGCAGUGCCUUUGAUACUGGCAUGCUUGAAUGUACAUGAGGUAGGCGGAAUGUGGCAAGUAGCGGUGAAAUGCAUAGAUAUGCCACAGAACACCGAUUGCGAAGGCAGCUUACCAAAGUAUUAUUGACGCUGAUGCACGAAAGCGUGGGGAUCAAACAGGA
rnacentral:rRNA from 1 species